GACGAACGCUGGCGGCGUGCCUAAUACAUGCAAGUCGAACGCAGUGGGGACGUGUGAUUAACACGUGGGUCACCUCCCAUCAGAGAGGAUAACACUUGGAAACAGGUGCUAAACCGAUACUGAUGGAUGUACCCCCUGGGCAUUAGCUAGUUGGGGAAGGAACGGCUCACAAAGUCCAAGAUGCAGAGACGACCUGAGAGGGUGGUUGCCCACACUGAGAUUGAGACACGGCCCAGACUCCUACGAGAGGCAGCAGUAGGGAAUCUUAGACAAUGGAAGAGAGUCUGUACGAGCCACGCCACGUGAGAGAAGAAAGUUUGCGGAUCGAAAAACUCUGUGGUUAGAAAAGCGGUAUCUAACCAGAAAGCCACGGCUAACAACGUGCCAGCAGCCGCGGUAAUAC
rnacentral:rRNA from 1 species